rnacentral:rRNA from 1 species
UGCAAGUCGAGCGGAUGACGGGAGCUUGCUCCUGGAUUCAGCGGCGGACGGGUGAGUAAUGCCUAGGAAUCUGCCUGGUAGUGGGGGACAACGUUUCGAAAGGAACGCUAAUACCGCAUACGUCCUACGGGAGAAAGCAGGGGACCUUCGGGCCUUGCGCUAUCAGAUGAGCCUAGGUCGGAUUAGCUUGUUGGUGAGGUAAUGGCUCACCAAGGCGACGAUCCGUAACUGGUCUGAGAGGAUGAUCAGUCACACUGGAACUGAGACACGGUCCAGACUCCUACGGGAGGCAGCAGUGGGGAAUAUUGGACAAUGGGCGAAAGCCUGAUCCAGCCAUGCCGCGUGUGUGAAGAAGGUCUUCGGAUUGUAAAGCACUUUAAGUUGGGAGGAAGGGUUGUAGAUUAAUACUCUGCAAUUUUGACGUUACCGACAGAAUAAGCACCGGCUAACUCUGUGCCAGCAGCCGCGGUAAUACAGAGGGUGCAAGCGUUAAUCGGAAUUACUGGGCGUAAAGCGCGCGUAGGUGGUUUGUUAAGUUGGAUGUGAAAGCCCCGGGCUCAACCUGGGAACUGCAUCCAAAACUGGCAAGCUAGAGUACGGUAGAGGGUGGUGGAAUUUCC